rnacentral:rRNA from 1 species
AUUAGCUUGCUAAUCCGCUGACGAGUGGCGCACGGGUGCGUAACGCGUAUACAAUCUGCCUUUAAGCGGGGAAUAGCCCAUGGAAACGUGGAUUAAUACCCCAUAGUAUGUAGACUUCACCUGGAGACUACAUUAAACAUUUAUGGCUUAAAGAUGAGUAUGCGUCCUAUUAGUUAGUUGGUAAGGUAACGGCUUACCAAGACGGCGAUAGGUAGGGGUCCUGAGAGGGAGAUCCCCCACACUGGUACUGAGACACGGACCAGACUCCUACGGGAGGCAGCAGUGAGGAAUAUUGGACAAUGGAGGCAACUCUGAUCCAGCCAUGCCGCGUGCAGGAAGACGGCCCUAUGGGUUGUAAACUGCUUUUAUACGGGAAGAACCACAUCUACGUGUAGAUGCUUGACGGUACCGUAUGAAUAAGGACCGGCUAACUCCGUGCCAGCAGCCGCGGUAAUACGGAGGGUCCAAGCGUUAUCCGGAAUCAUUGGGUUUAAAGGGUCCGUAGGCGGGAUAAUAAGUCAGUGGUGAAAGUCUGCAGCUCAACUGUAGAAUUGCCAUUGAUACUGUUGUUCUUGAAUUAUUAUGAAGUGGUUGGAAUGAGUAGUGUAGCGGUGAAAUGCAUAGAUAUUACUCAGAACACCUAUUGCGAAGGCAGAUCACUAAUAAUAUAUUGACGCUGAGGGACGAAAGCGUAGGUAGCGAACAGGAUUAGAUACCCUGGUAGUCUACGCCGUAAACGAUGGUUACUAGCUGUUCGGCUCGAUUGAGAGCUGAGUGGUUAAGCGAAAGUGAUAAGUAACCCACCUGGGGAGUACGUUCGCAAGAAUGAAACUCAAAGGAAUUGACGGGGGCCCGCACAAGCGGUGGAGCAUGUGGUUUAAUUCGAUGAUACGCGAGGAACCUUACCAGGGCUUAAAUGCAGUUGGACAGGUCUGGAAACAGACCCUUCUUCGGACUAAUUGCA